rnacentral:tRNA from 1 species
GUGGGUAGAGCUCAGGGAUACAGUGCCUGCUUAGCAUGCAUGAGGUCCUGGGUUCAAUCCCCAGUCCCUCCA